rnacentral:rRNA from 1 species
GAUGAACGCUAGCUACAGGCUUAACACAUGCAAGUCGAGGGGAAACGGGAAGAUAGCUUGCUAUUUUUGCCGUCGACCGGCGCACGGGUGAGUAACGCGUAUCCAACCUGCCACCUAGUGGAGGAUAGCCUUUCGAAAGAAAGGAUAAUACUCCAUGUACUCCUUUAAGGGCAUCUGCGAAGGAGGAAAGAUUGAUCGCUGGGUGAUGGGGAUGCGUCUGAUUAGGCAGUUGGCGGGGUAACGGCCCACCAAACCGACGAUCAGUAGGGGUUCUGAGAGGAAGGUCCCCCACAUUGGAACUGAGACACGGUCCAAACUCCUACGGGAGGCAGCAGUGAGGAAUAUUGGUCAAUGGACGGAAGUCUGAACCAGCCAAGUAGCGUGCAGGAUGACGGCCCUAUGGGUUGUAAACUGCUUUUAUGCGGGGGUAAAGUGAGUGACGUGUCAUUCAUUGCAAGUACCGCAAGAAUAAGGACCGGCUAAUUCCGUG